UCAAGUGUAAACAAAUUGCAGUCAAAGCCAAAGUACUGACCUUUUGCCAUAUUUCAACACAAAACAUCGUAUUUAAAAGGUAAGGAAUUAUUUUUUCCCACGGUACUUCAGUAUUCAAAGUUAUGGGACUGGGUAGUUGUUAAAUGUAGGUUAAGUUACUGGUCCACUGGCAGCAGUUAAACAAAGGCAAUGAAGCGGUUACCAAGAUGAAUUGCUUUUUCAUGAUCAAUAACAUAUCUAAAACUAAAUAUAUUUCUGACAAAUAACUAACUACAUGCCACUAAGGUGAUGGAUUGAUCCUCAAACUGUAUGUUUAUGGAAAAAUAAAUAGUUAUGGCCAUUAGUGAUCACAGACUAAUUUUGAUUUGGUUGUCCAAAGCUUUCUUCAGAAUGUCCAAGCUUCCACCUCACCUUCCUCCAUUCCAUCCCUGGAAGCCCCAGUCCACCUUGGAUGCUGUAGUAUCAGCAAUGUGGCGCAGUCUCUGCCCUGGUCAAAGGAUGCUACCAAACCAUGAUCUGGGACCAAUCUUCACCAAGCUGUCACAGGACCUGGAGUCUGCAACCAUGCCCCUCUACACCAACUACUUUGACCCAGUCACUGACCACCUGCCCAACAGUUUCACAUUGGGACACAAGCUGAACUUCAACCUGAGGCUGAACUGCUUUGACUCAUGGGCAGACCCAGAGAGAGAGAGGGAAAGAGGGAGGGAGAGAAGCCACCAUGUCCCCUCUUACGGAGGACCCCGCAUCAGUGGUGCCUGCCUGUCUAGACUGACUAGGAACGGAAGGCCAAGCGAGAGUAGAGGAUCUAUGACCAACAGUCAGUUUAUCUAUCAAAUGUAUGGCUACCACUGCAGGUGACCCUGGGCAUGUUAGAAUGUGUGUCUUGUCACAUCAUUAGACUUUAAACCAAUAUAUUUCUGUCCGUGUGAAAAAUAAAGAGACUAUGCAUACUUUAA